GUGAUUCGUGUUUCUAGCGCCAACGCCAUGACUUGCUUUCACCAGAUACUCUUAGAGAUACUCGUUGCCAUCUUUUUUGCCGUUUGUUUCUAUAUGGACAAUGUCUGAUUGCACUGUUAAGUUUUAUACUGGUCAUGUACUCUUGUGCACACCGUCAGAAUGUAUCGUCUGUUUGAACUGCUUAUAUCCUGCAAUAGCUGUUAUCGGUGUUAUGUGUGCUCGUGUGUGUGUGUGUAAAGGUCCACGAUGCAUGUGGAACCAUGUUGACGGCCACCAGAGUGCCAGCGCCGCGGCCGCAUCACCGUAGGUUGAUGGCUGGGCGGUGCAGGUGUGCUCGUGGCCGUGAAAGAACCUGGACGCUGGGGAACAAUUCUUGCUGGCGCAGGUGUGCUCGUGGCCCUGAAAGAACCUGAUUGUUGAUUGUUCCUCGUCAUCUCUCCAGUUCAUUAUUUGCGUCCCAGCCGCCGGAGACCUGAGGCUGCUGCCGCCCGCUGGCCGGCGUCUCUCACUCACCGGUAUGCCGUGUGCAUCGCCUUUGACACCAUGGACAUCCGGGCUACUUAGAGCAUCUCUAGCAGAUCCCGUAUACCCUGUCCCGCAAAAAUCAGUUUAAAGGAUACCGCAAAAUGUUCCUUUUUAGCAUUUUUACCGUAUGACUUUUGUUUCGGCAGAACAGACCCGUAAAAUAUUUUAUUGUCCCGGUAAAAUUGCACAAACCGCCCUAAAAACGUUCGUCUCGACCGCUCCCAUCGCGAUGAUCUUGUCAGGGACAAAGGAGGAGCGUGCGUCUUGCCGGUGACAACGCUGCCAUGGAGCAAGACAGAGGACCACGGGGAUGGAUGGUAGCUAGCUAGCUCGCGGGUGGCGGCGGACGGCGACGUGCGACACCUCGCGUGCGGCGGCGGGGGUGAGAUUUGGCCGGAAUCAAGCUCGGGAAGUCAUGGUGUCGGCUGCGAGGAAAGCAGUUGGGGCUGAAAUUUCCCUCCCGCCAACGGAAAGGGGACCCUCCAAACCCGGCGAAAUCCCAUAGAUAUAGAGGAAAUGGGCUCACAGAUUCGAGAUCCCAUAAUUUUUUUUUCAAGACGAACGGAUUUGGAGGAGCUGUUCGGGACGGGUUUACGGGAUACAUCCCGCAAACCGGGGUUAUUAUACCAGAUGACCCGGUUUGCGGGAUUUUUUUUUUAGUUGAGUUUGUGGGAUUUUUUUUUGAGGCAAGAGUUUGUGGGAUCUGUUUUUUUAAAACAAUCUCACGAAGCUUUUAUUAAGUCGUCACAGUGUUUACAGGGACGGAUGGAAGAUCUCCGGGAUGACCUAACCAGACACGGCGGCCAAGCCCUAGAGAAAGUGCAUGCUUCGCUAAAUUGUGAGUCUCAAAAUUUGAGCUCCUAAAUUCAUGACUAAAUUUACAAAAAUCAAAAGUCGAAGAAUGAUCUAAAAUUUCAUGUAUGAUCGCUCCAUAACUGGACGCAUUCUCCUUAUGGAUAUCUUCUAUGACAAUCUUGCAGUCCGAGGCCACAUGUAUACGCCGUAGAUAUAGGUCCUCUGAGAGGGCUAGUGCCUCUCGAAUUGGCAGGGCUUCGAGGGUUUGAGGAUCUGCUAGAAUGCUCUUACCGCCGGGAGCUCCUAUUGGACGCUGUAGGCGUCCGUUGGAGAACUGGCGCCUGCAGCGACCAGCCAUGGGCCGCGGCAAAUUAAGAGAAGAUCGCUCCCUCGCUCCCCCUUCGUUUGCUCGCUCGCUCGCUGAAGAAAAACAGACUCGCAUCGCUGGGUUUUUUUGGGCUGUGCUGCGCUUCUGGUUCAGGGAAAAGACCGGCCUCCGUUUUUUUACAACUUUGAAUAUGUUUGUGAAAAAAGGUCAUAUAAUAUUAAGAAAAGUUCGUCAAUUUUGAACAAUAAUGUUCACAAAUCUGAAAAAAGUUCAUUGGAUUUGAAAAAAGUUCAUCAGAUUAAAAAAAGUUCAUCAAAUUGAAAAUAGUUCAUUGGAUCUGGAAAAAAAGUUCAUCAAAUCGAAAAAAGUUCAUUCGAUUUGGAAAAAAAGUUCGUCGGAUUGAAAAAAGUUCAUCGGAAUCUGGAAAAAGUUCAUCGAUUUUUAGAAUAAGUUCAAAAAAAGUUUAAAAGUUCAUUCACUUUCGAAAAAGUUAAUCGAGUUUGAAAAACAAAUCAUUGAAAUUGAAAAAUAGUUCAUCGGUAUACAGAAAAAGUUCACGAACUAGAAAUCGUCUAUUUGUAAACAUUUUUCGCAUUUAAGAAAAGAAAACAGGAAACAAAAAAAGAAAGGGGAACAAACGCAUGAAACAAAGGUAUAAAAAGAUGGAAAGGAGCCAUCUGUUCACGAGUCAGGGCGGUGGCGUAGUGGUCUGUGAAUUUUCUGUUAACUGAGAGAUUGUUGGUUCGAUUCCUGGCUGUGCACGCUUUCGCUAACUCUCCUUUUUUUGUUUCGAAAACAGUGGGGAAAGGGUAGUUGGGCCGAGCCCAGCUAGCGCCGCUGCAGGCGCCCGUUUGCGGAAACAGCUAUAACCAGCGCCUGCAGCGCCAAAUAGGAAAUGCCCUUACCGCCUCAAGGCUUAUUGCAGAAACCAAACUUCGGGCCCUCCCUUAUGUGGCCCAGCCCAACCACGAGCCCCUCAGUCCAUCACAGGCCACAUCUCGGCGCUGCUUACACCCCUAAAAAAAAUAAUCUCUGUGCUGCUUCGUCUAUCCCUCCCACCGUCCUCGGCUCCCCGGGGAUCCCGCCGUCGCCGCCGCCGGCCCGCGUUGGUGCCGCCCUGGCUCUUUCAACUUGGAAGGGCUGCCACCACCGCCUCCUCCCUCCGCGCCAGUCCCCGCAAGCGCUCCUCGGCACCCCUCCUCCUGCCGUCGGAUCCCCUCACCGUGAGUUCCGUGCUCCCUUGAUUCCGAUUCCCUAGUGUCCUCAUAAUCCCUUGGUGCCCGAUAGAUGCUAGGGUUAGCUAUCCUUCGAUGUGUUGUUAGUUUGAUUGAUGGAACGCCCUGCUGUUUAUGCUGCCGUGCCCCGUAUUAGGGUUCUCUUAAAUUCGAUGCAGUUUCAUGCAAUACUAUUAGGGUUCAAUUCAUUCGGUUGGUUCAGUUUCAUUGCAAUACUAAAACACAAGAUGGAUAUUGUACCACGCUGUGUUGUUUUGCUAUGCUUUAUCGAUUUUGAUUUAUGAUUCGAAUUUCACAUCAACUGCACCUCGGUCCCAUACUUCUUUUUAUGUCACACAACGCGUGUGCUGUGGGUAGUUUACUCUUCUGGUUAAUUUUCAGCCUAGGGAUUUAUAUUGUUUCAUUUAGUUGAGUCCUGCUGCCAUCAUGUGCAGCUUCUCUGGUGGUUGCACAGAGGCACGUUUUGUUCGCUUUGUCACACGUCAAAAAUUCGUUCCAGGUUAUUGUUUUGUUUCUUAUCUUUCUUGUACAUGUGAUGAUUUGUAGGUAGCAUCUGAUUGGCAGUGGACAGGGCAAGAUGUCUGGCGGCAAUGUGAGUUGCUGCUACUCGUAAUUCUUUCUAUCUGCAGAGAAGCCAGUGUGGUGCAUUUGAGGAUUUUGAGCUGAUCCUCUGCUUGUUAUGAUGCGUAGCCUGCAGGUGUGGAUAACACUUUCCGUAGGAAAUUUGACAAGGAGGAGUACUUGGAGCGAGCUCGACAGAGAGAGCGGGAUGAGAAGGUCCUCCACGGCGUCCUACUGUUUUUUGAAAACUAAACAUGAUCAUAUUCAUACUUCUCUCUUGUUCAAUACAUUGCUAACAUUUGCUCUGUCUUUCUCCCUUGGUUAUGCAGGAUGAAGCCCGGAGAGGCAAGGGUAUGCACUCCGUGUAAAGUUAUUAAUUCUAUUAAAUCUGUAGCCUUACUGUUAUUAUCAUGCAAAACUGAAUUAUUUCCUCUACAAACGUCAGACAGGGGCCCUCCUGUGCAAAGACAGCCUUUGAAGCAUAGGGAUUAUGAAGUUGAUCUUGAGUCUCGUCUUGGUAAAACCCAGGUUCGUCAGAUCAUAUAGGUUUCAAAUAAUGUUUCUCAUUGUUUUUCCAUGUUUCCUCAUUGUUGUAUAACCUGUGAACCCAAUUGGGCGUGAUUUCUUCUUAUGUAUAUCUUGCGUGGUUCAUUUGGAAGUUCCUUAUUUAGGUUAAUUUGCAACUUAGUACCUGAGACUUCAUGUUUAUGCUUGAUUUGAAUUAUUGUUUUUUUUUUGAAAUGUAAAUUAUUGGAUGUUGAUUUGUGGGUAUUGGGUGUUUUAGUAUGUCAUGGCAUUGUAUGUUCUUUAUGCUGAUAUUUUCCCAUACAGGCUGUCAAACAGCCGUAUAUGCUUAAUGUUGUGUUGGGCAGUUAUAGACAGACAACAUAUUAAAUUAACUUAAAAAAACAUCUAUGUCAGUAUAUAUAGUGAAAGAAAGUAAUGAGUCCCCCUUCAGCUAAGCUCGUUAAGAAUUGGAUGCUUUAUUUGCAUAACAUUUUAAUUAUGGUAUGGUUUACCAUGUCGAUGAUGUUUGUUUAUCUUGCCCUCAUGAAAUUUGAAUUUUAGUUGAUCAAGGGCCAAAAAGGAUACAAAUGUCAUCGCAACUUUUCAUUGUUCAUCAGACCUUACCAAUCAAGUAGAUGCGCCCUUGUAUAUAUAGUCAGAAUACAGAAAAUGUACUCAACAAUAUAUAUGCAGUUUCUGUGCAUAUACUAUAAUGUUGCCAUGGCUAGCCUUAAUUUGACGCUCUCUGCAAUUCAUGGAUACCAACAAGCCAGCCAUGUUUCAGGUUCUGGAAACUGCAUCUGCAUUCAUGCGCGACAUAUAUAAUUUGGCCUGUAACGAACCUGCUAAAAUGGAAGCGGGGAGGGUUCCCUGACUUCUCUUGGAAAUUUGGGGAAGCUGAACUGAGACGUUGUCUUGCUCCCUGUUUCAUUUGUGUUGGAUGCCCAAUCAUUCCAUGACGUCCACUUUGGAAAGCAAAAAAGAUAAAUUGCAUCUUGCAUUGCUUGGAUACAUACACAUUGAAACUCGAACCACAAACACAAUCCAAACAUAUUGCAUUGCUAGGAUGGAUAUGAUUGGGGUGCUGAGCGAGCAACUAGCUUGUAGUUUUGAUCGGAUGGAUUAAGAGCCUUAGGUUCUGGAGCAAAGAGCUGCCGUCGAGGCGCUUGGCCCUGUACCGCCGGACCAGUUCUGCCAUGGUGGUGCUCCUGUACUGCGCCUCGCCGUCGGCGACAAUUGGCCGUAGCACUCUCGUGGACGUGGCCGCACCCUGCCGCCGGAAGCAGCAGGCCACGGAGACGCGAGGCCCAGCACUCUUGGCCACCACGCGGUGCUCCACGCUCCUGAACUUGCCGUUGGAGACGAGCUGCCGGAAGUCGCCAAUGUUCACCACCAGCGCGCCCGGCACCGCCGGCACGUCCACCCACACGGAAACCGACUUCUUGUCGUCUUCCUGUAGCCCGUCGACGAGCACUUGGAGACCGCCCACAGCGUUCUGGAGGACCACGAUGAGGAAGCAGGGGUCGGAGUGGGCGGUGGUGCCCAACGUCAGGUGCGGCUCUGGGUAGGAUGGGUAGUAGUGGCCAGCAAACCCCUCCAGGCAUGCAGCGUCCUCCUCCAGGUGCCCACGGUGGAGGCCCAACGCCUCCGACAACAGCUCCAGUAUGGUGCGGCCCAGCUGCUGCACCAGCCUCAUGUACUCGGGCGCGAUGGUCCUGCAAGCGGGCGGGAUCUCCUCGGGCGGCGGCGGCUUCGGCGCCGUCUGCAUGAAAAGGGUAUCGUGCUAGUUGGCCGCCGGGGACCGGAACAGGUCGAAGUUGCUCUGGUACCUCACACGCCGGUGAGAUUCCCGGCUAUAGUAGGGCGCCUUGGCCUCCGCUGGCGCCUCGUGAAAGGCCCGCAAAGCCGCGAGCAUCUCUGACAUGGUUGCCUUGGGCACGCCGUGGUUCACCACCUGGAAGAAGCCCACCGUCUCUGCGGCCACCUUCACCGCGGCGACCAGCUCAGCUCGCUGGGAUGGUGUAGUAGUAGUAGCAGCACCCACGGCAGCUGCGAGGUCGAUGACCGGGAUGGUGAAGUGGUGCUCAUGAUCUGCAUGCAAAUGGAGGAGGGGGAGGGGGUGGUGGAAGAUGGAGGGGAUGGUGGUGAUGCCCGCGUCGACGAGGCCCUUGACACCGGCCUUGGUGUCGUCGAAGGCCUUGAGGGCAUGAAGGCGAUCAGAGUCGGAGGCCAUCAAUUGUUGUACUACUCCACUAGAUGAUUAUUGCUACUCCUUUAAAGGAACUCUGUGCCGGUGCAAAUCGUGCGAGAUUGAAAAGCUUGAUCUACUAAAUAUUAUUUUUCUGCAUCACCUAUCUUUUCCCAACUGCUAUGCAAGAGACAACCUAACUUGCAGUUCUUUAUGUAAUCAGUACGGUGGUUGAUCCAUCAUUGUUUCCCAAUCAUUUUCCGAAAAGAAAAAGAAAAUAAUUGUGUCCCUAUCAAAGAUCAGGCCCCGAAUGGUAAUUUCACUAGUUCGAGUUAGCCAAAUAAGAAGAAUAAUAGCCAAGGCCUUAAGAAGAGCGGACUUUUAUAGUGUUCUGUAAGGGUGUGGCUAGAUUGACUCUACCGGAGGACUCCUUUGAGUAGUACUGCCGCUGUGCUGUAUUACUAUAUACUACUAGGAGUCUAGGACAAUGAUUAACAGUUUGAUAUUACUAGCACAUGACUAGGACAAUGCUGAAAGCCUUUAAACACUUGUGAGUAGCCUAAUUCAAUUCUUGAAUAUAAAUCCUAAGGAUGGAAAUCAUAAAAGUGUGCUUAAGAUUUGAAGAUUAGAAGAAGUAUGAAUGAGUAUUGCAAAAGAUGAGUAACUCUAAAUCCACGUAUGAAUGUUUUAUUUGUAUAGGUGGUUCGGUUUGGUCAUUUACUCAUUUAUCAUCGAUAAGCUAUUUUUUUAGUUCGCUAUAAAACAAUCUGUACAUAUAAAAUAGAUGCUCUAUUACUUAAAUGUAUAACUAACAGUAUUAUUUUGCCUCCUUUUCAGGUGGUAACCCCAAUCGCACCUUUGAGUCAGCAGGUUUGUCCUAAAAUCUCACACGGCUUGUUAUUUUAGAUUAGAAAUUGCAAUGUUUGUAAAAUUUUCAGUUUGGCUUACUUGAUAGACAUUCUACCAGAGUAUGUGACUUCUUGUUUUUGUUGUUGUUGUACUUGAGAACUCGGUGGGAUCUUAAUUCAGAAAACCUGUUUUAUGUGUUGUUCUUCAGAUUUUGGUCUCAUGCUUCCACAAUCAGUCAUUACUCAUUAGUGUUUGACUCAUCACUUGCUUGAUCUUCUUUAACAUACCAAUGCAUGAAAUUUAGAACAGUUCUAUUGCUACAUAAUUAAUCUCGCUUGCCAUGGGUUUGGAGGGUGAUGCAAAUAUUAAUGCUUAACUAGAUACUGUUCAUGCUCAGUGUAUCGCACAAAAGCUUGUUCUCAGUUUACCAUCUUUCUGGCAGGCUGGAUACUACUGUUCAGUAUGUGAGUGUGUUGUUAAAGAUUCAGCCAACUAUUUGGAUCAUAUAAAUGGCAAGAAGCGUAAGUAUCUGCAAACUCUAUUUUAAGUUCAGUUGGUCUAGCAAACUUGCCUAUCAUCAGUUUCAUGUUUUAUGGUUUGAACAUUUGACAGAUCAGAGAGCAUUGGGCAUGUCUAUGCGUGUUGAAAGGGCGUCACUCGAACAGGUAAAAAAAUUGAAGCUUGUCUCUGGACCCGAGUCCAUCUAAUAACUAAAAUCAUUAUUCAUCAUGUGCUGGUUAUUUCAUUGGUUUAUCGUCGCAAAUUUAAAACGAAAAUCUUCGGGUUAUCUAAGCCAAGUGACAGCUGCUUGCAUGGUUACCUUCCAUAUGUUUAAAUGUUAAUAAUUCUGCCCGCAGGUUCAAAAACGGUUUGAGGCACUUAAGAAGAGGAAGGACCCAGCCAGCUUCAGUGAACAAGGUGAUACAAUGCGAAAACAUCCUCUAGGAUGUCAUUUCUCCUCUCAAUUCAUUGUCCACAGAAUUGUCUACCAGAUUGCUGUCUGAAAUUUAAAAUUGGUUUCUUCGCCUUUUCUUCAGAUUUGGAUGAGAGAAUAUGGAAGCAGCAGCAAGAGGAGGAGGAGAAGAAGCGUCAACGCAGAGAAAAGAAGAAAGAAAAGAAGGUAUAAGUACAAUCUUUUAUGUGUGUCUAUGUGUAUGUAAUUUCCUGUUUCUACUACGUGUUUUCUGUUGAACGCGAGACUUGCAGUCUGUCAGUCCAUUGGGCUGUUGAGAAUCAUGAGAGUUUGUAAUGACAUGGUAUGAAUUGGUUUCAGAAAGAGCAGGCUGGCCAGAAUGAACCUGAGGACAUUGACCCUGAUGUUGCUGCUAUGAUGGGCUUCGGCGGGUUCGGCACCUCUUCAAAGAAGUGAAAAUUGCUGCUUCAGGUGGCGCCAUUCCGUUGGUCUGUGGCUGCUGAAGACGUCGCCGCGGCUCCGUGCACCUGGAUCUCAGCAAAGGUCAGACACAGCUCUGAUGCAGUGUUGCGAGUAGUGUACUGGAGCCUUGUUGCAACCGCUACCUGAUAAUGUCAGCGAAACGAUACUUAAUGCUGGAACAAUUCAGCUUCUGUAAUCGGUGACCGGUGAUCAUUUGAGAAGCAUUUCAUCUUUGAGAAAUGAGAUGACUAAUUCGUCUAGAUGCUGCUGUAUCAUUUGAGAGGCAUUUUAUCUUUGAGAAAUGAGAUAACUAAUUCGUUUACACGCUGUUCGUUGUAUCAGCUUGCGAGAAAAGCAAAUGCUCUGUUUGCAGUCUGUUAUUUUAUGCUUUUAUUCUUGCAAAUUCUCCGUUUUGGAAAAGAAAAUAAUGAGUCUGUAUAUGACAUAAGUUAGGAGUAGCAUAAAGAUUGGUUUAUGACAAAACUGACAAGUUAGAAGACAAUUUUCUUUCGGUUUUGUUGUCGUUACCUUCCCGCCGGCGUAUCCAGUGAAAACUGGAAUUCCGUGAAAACCUGAAAACUGUAAAACGGAGCCACUGGAUUGUGGAUAGAUGAAUCGGAUAAGAGAUGGGACCCCUCGUGACCACUUGAACAUAUCUUACAGAAACUCCUUCCUCUCCCUUGACCUGUGUUAUACACGGCAAGCCCAGACCCCUUCUUCUUCCUUAGGAAUUUCUCUACGAGGGAAUUUUUUAUUUGUACCAAUAUAAUACUUUUGUGAUUUCUUCUAUAUGGAUAUUUAAUUAGGAAAAAUUUUAUGUGGGAUUUUUUUAUUUGUACACUGGAAUAUUAUCUGAUUUCUCCUAUAAGCUGUUUCAUUUGCAUUGCUAUAGUCCUAUAUGGGGAAUUAUAUGCGGCUGCAAGGCUAGCAUAACAUAAGGCAAAGUGGCCAAGGGUUCCAUAUGGGGAAUUAUAUGCGGCUGCAAGUGCUAGCAUAACAGAAGGCAAAGUGGCCAAGGGUUCCAGCGGCCAGGGAAAGAGCCCUCGUACCCAGCCGCGGCUAGGGGUCCUCCUGCCUCCUGUCAGCGCCGGCAUUGAUCCAUCUCGUCUCCUGUGGCCUUAGGGCCAUGGAAACAAUGGUGGAUCUCGGCCCUUACUGACGGGAGGGCUUCAUUUUUGUUUUUUUAGCUUUCUUAGGGUUUAUGUCCUACUCAGAGAGAUGAGGCGGCGGCGGCUCUCUGAAGAUGAAAUAAGAUUCUCUCAGCCUAGCCCUCGUUCCGGUGGUGCUUCUAGUGUCAUCGGAGGGUGUGUGGAGAUUUGUCUCCGGCAGACCUCGCAGAAUUCGGUCGGCGUUUGUCUUCGAUGGAUCCACGUGGAUCCAGUCUUUAUUCAUGUGUGUCCAUCUGUCUACAGGUUGGAUCCUUCCGAUCUAAACUUCUCUUCAACGGCGGCGGUUGCUGGUCUCGUGCGCUGGUCCUAUAGGGCCUUAGCACGACGACUUUCCUACUGUCUACUACAACAAGUUUUGUCCGCCUUAAGUGCUUGUAGUCGUUGCUAGGUGGUCUACGGAUCUGGAUGUAAUUUUAUUAUUUUUGGUAUUCGUUGUACUAUCAUGAUUGAUGAUGAAUAUAAUUGAAGUUUUCUCGCAAAACGAAAGAUAUAGUCGCAUAUGAAUUGAGUUUUUCCUGGUUACUUUGCACUACAUUUCAAAUGAAAUUCUGCACCUGUUCUAACUUCUUAAUUAAAUAUCCUUUGCUUUCCAGCUUUCAUAUGGUACUGGAAGGGUUGGACGCGCUUUGCUGCGCCGUUGGUGUUGUUGGGUUUCUUAAAAAUAAUACUCACUUUGUUUCAAAAUAUAAGGUAUAUUACUUUUUUGAAAUGCCAAACCUUUUAGUUUGAUCAAAUUUGUAGAGAAAUAUAUAUAAAUCCAUAAUAUCAAAUCGGUAUGAUUAGAUUCAUCAUGAAAUGAAUUUUCAUACUUUUUUGUUUAAUAUUGUGGAUAUCGAUAUUUUUUGCUCUGAACUUUGUCAAAGUUAAAGAGAUUCGACUUUCCAAAAAGCUUACACCCCUUAUAUUUUGGAACUGGUGAAAUAUUUAGUUUGGCCAGCGGCGGAGAUGAUGGAGUGUGUUUUAUUUUUAUUUAUAAUGCGGUGAUUUGAUGGGCCUUCAUGGUGUGGUUUGGUGUGAUAUGCUAACCAACGUAUAUUUAUGUGAGAAAAUAUCUACGUCGGCGGAUGCAUGUACUAUAUUGGUGCUACAGUAUCAGAUGAUGGCGCUUAUUUUUUCUAGAAGGUGGGACGGUACAUGCAAAUGAUGUGAUUUUAUAGGUGGUUGCUUUUGAUUGAUUUAAAAAAUCGUUGGCCCGGUCAAAUAAUAUACCAAAUCCAAAAUUGAGCACCUCAAUUGCAUGAAAGAGCUUUCAAAUUCGGGAACAUAGGAAAUUAAUUAUUUUUGAAAAGGAGAGCUCUUUCAGAAAUUAUUGACCCGGUCAAAAUUGGGUGACCCAAUUCUAAAUUGAAUAUCUCAAUUAAUUAUGAGGCCUUAAAAAUUAGGAAGCAUAGUGUAUAGUAUAAAAGAAUUGAGUGAGAGAGCUUUGAGAAACUAUUGACCCGGUUAAAAUCGGGCGACUCAAUUCUAAUUGAAGACCUUAAUUGAAUGUGGACUCUUUAAAAUUAGAGAGCAUAGUGUCAUAGAGAAUGAUAAAAAAAUUGGUGGACAUGACACUGCAAUAUUGUGUUUAUUUUUCUUUAAUAAUCCCUUGCUUUUUUAUCUAUGAAUGAAAGAUGCCCUGAGCAUAAUUAAAAAUGGAAGUACCUAGAACUCAUCUAGAUGAGAUAUAAUUUGGUCUCAUUCACUUUGAAAACAAGAAUAGAUACAACCCACGUCAGCACACACGCAUCUUAUAGCACCACAUCCAAUGGCUAUAAAAGGUGAAUGAGACCAAAUUAUAUCUCAUCUAGAUGAGUUCUAGCAAAACUGAUUAAAAAUACAUCCCGAGCAUUUUAUUCACGCCAAAAUCUGCUCAAAAACACGUUUUCUUAGAGGCGCUCAGAAAGAAACAUGUUGAUGGACUAAAUACACUAGAAAAGACAUAUUUGUGCCAAAAAUUUACCAUGAAAACAGGUGAUUCAUGAUCUAGUCCUCUAAAUCAACUGGAGAACAUGAUAACAAUGUGAAGUCAGCGCAUAAGCUAGCUGUCAUGACGCUAAAUUCAGGACAUGCGGACUCCUGGUUGGCGAAUUAGAAGAAAGGCCACCGUUCAAGACCCGUGCUACUAACCAACUAUACUCCCAGUAGUGGAUCAUAGUGGUACACACACACGCACUGAUUAGCUGAAGAAGACAUCUUUGGUUCGCAUGAUCUCGAGAACGCAACAAGAGAAUGAAGAGAAAAAGGAUGUAGAAUUCUAGUGCCACAUUUCAGCACCCAUGGAGAUUUUUUUUUAUCUAUCCGAUCGACUACUAUACUGUACCUGUACUCAUAGAGACUUUUUCAGGAGAGGCGAUCUCUGACUUGUCAGCGGAAACCCUCGUCCUUUCGGUUUCCACCUUCGUCCGUUCCGAUCGAUCCUUGAAUAUACACAGGACUUGUCCAGAGCCCCCUGUCGGUGACAGCGAACGGAAAACGAUUGUAAUUUAUAACCGUGCUCCGUGCAUGUGGGUUUACGUCCAACCGCACCAGUGAUAGCGAGUGAGGGAGAAAAGUCAUGCCCACAUCCGGUGCUGCUGCUAAUUAUUAGUACUAGUGCAUAUCUCUCGGACGUGCAGUUUCUACACCAGGAGCAAAUGCUCCUGAUGUGAACAGUAAAAUCAAAUAUAAAAAAUAAUUCAAAAAAUUCUGAAUUUUUGUGUGGCAUACUUUCACAAAUGUUUGUUUUGCAUGCAAAAUUUCAUCGUAAAAUCACAUUGGUGGAAGGCGUGGUAAAGAAACAAAAUCGAUGCUCUGAAAAUGUUACUUACAAAAGCAUUUUGGAGUUUUGAUUUUGUGUCUUUGGCACGCCUUCCACCAAUGUGAUUUCGCGAUGAAAUUUUGCAUGCACAACAAACAUUUAUGAAAGUAUGUCACAAAAUAAUUUCAGAAUUUUUUUAGUAUUUCUUUUGGAUUUUUUUUGAUUUUACUGUUCAUACCAGGAGCAAAUGGGGUAGAAAGGUACUUUCAAUAUCUCUCCAGCUUUGAGGAUUUCAUUUGAUAGUACUCACUCUUAGUGAUCUAAACGCUUUUAUAUUUUUUUACAGGGAAGUACUAGUAGCUAGGGAAAACUCUGCUCAGAGGCUGCUGAGGACGAGAUGCUGGUGUUGUUUGUUUUUAACAACUCAACAGUGAAUUGGUCCUCGCUCGAAAAUUCAUUUGCUUAGGGUAUUUCUAACCGAGCCCCUUAUAAUUUAGAGGAGUAUCCGACCGAGCAAAACUUAGUGGAGUAUAUUUACUCUACUAAGAGCAACUCUAGCAGACCUCGUAUCCCGUCGGUCCGCAAAACGCUUUUGCAGUUCGCGGAAAACGGCAUUCGCGGGCCGGCGCCGACGGCCACAGAUGCAGACCCCCAAACGGACCCGUAUAAAAGUAUAUUCGCGGAAUAUGCGUUUUUACGGGUCGGCUUUACGGGGUCUGCUCGGACACCGCCGCGUCGACCCGCAAACAAAAAACGCCCAAUUCUCGCAUUUGACAUAAGUUCCCAUAAAUAAGUUCAAAUUCAAACAGCAUAACACAGUCUCACGCGCAAAUAAAAGCCAAGUUCAGCACGACAAACGUAAAAGAGGGCCUUGCAAAAGGUACGCCCAUGUCCGGCAUCAUCUUAGUCGAUCUUCACUCCGCUCCAUCGAGUCCAUCUUGAAGUUCAUCGCCACCACCGAAUCCACCUCCGGCGCUUGUUCCAACUCCCGCACUGAAAUCACCGACAUUGCCACCAUAUGGAGCAGAGAAAACAUCUCCGGAACUGUAACACGCACCAGCCAACGCAACCAUUCUCCUCUUCAAGAUUUCUCUCCUUGCCAUAUCAUGCCAUGUUUUGGUGAGAUCGUCCAUGUCAUUGCGGUUCAUUGACAUGAUCUUGUUCUCUUCGGCGAGCAACUUGGACAUGGCUUUGUUUUCAGCCGCGCGUGCUCUUCUCUCCUCAAUGGCAGCUUUGCGCAGCCCCUCUUCCUUGAGCAGUUGCCACUUUUCUUGCUUCUCCUUCGCCUUCUUCUCGGCCAACUCUUUCUUGAUCUCCAACGACUUCAACAACAUCAACUCGUUUGAUUGCACCAUGGCAUCAAUCUUCUCCCUCAAGCUCGAUGCUUCUUGCUCUCUCUUCAUCUUCUCCUUAGUCUUCUUGUCGCCAUCGGGCUUGUUCAAAUUUCUUGGGCCAUCAUCAUCCUCAUCUUCAUCCAUGUUUGUAAGUGAGCCUCUCUUCGGUGGGGAUUCUUUGUCGAUCAACUUCCACUUCUCGCACUUUUGGAGCAACUCCCAACAAUGCUCUAGUUUGAAGAAUUUGCCUUCCGAAGCUUCCAUGUCUUUGUAUCUAAGAAAAUAACGGAAAUCAAAGAAAAUCGCCAUGACCGAAGACGCAUACCUUCCGGCCAUUUCGUUGAACACCUCGCUUGCGGGGGGAACACCACUGUUGAACGGCAUCGCCGGGGCACCUCUUUCCGGGAUGGAGUGAGCAGAUGAAGGAGGCGACUUCUUUGUAGCCGGAAUCCUCUUCCUCUUGCCGCCGGCGGCCUUGGUGACCUUCUCCGCCGCUGGCCGAGAUCGCGCAGCAGCAUUGGCGCCCGGAGCACGGGCCUUCGCGACGGGGGCUGCCAGAUUCCCGCCCUGCACGACCACGUUGCCCUGCCGCUUGCGGGCAGGCGCGGUGUUAGCUUGGGAGACGGCGGAGCCAACAUGGCCGUCGACGAGAUCCACCCGAGGGGAAGGCGCGUGCACGACCUCGACGGUGACGGGGGACAGUAGGGAGUCGUCCAUGGCGGCGAAGGACAGCCGGGGAAGAUGCACCGGAGCGUGCGGUGGCGGGGCAAUGGUGGCGGAGGGUGGGGGAGCGGGAAAGGCCGCGCGGAAAUGUCCCUCCCGCAAAAUCUCGCUGCGGAUAGGGGCUGAGCUCGGGUCGUCCUCCUAGCCCAUGAAACUAGAGGUUGGGGGAGAAGUUUUGCUGCGCCCCGCAAAAAUAUUUGCGGGCAGGGGCGGGAUGCGGGGUCCGAUCGGGCAGGUUUUCCUGCCCCGACCCGCACUUUGGCGGUUAUUUUGCGGGCCGGGGCGGGAUGCGGGGUCUGCUAGAGUUGCUCUAACUUUUGGCCGGACAUAGCCGAUCCCCUAAAUACAACGGAAUAAAUCUUACUUUUCGUUGAUGUGUUUCGACGAACACUUGUCAUACACAUAUGCACAUAGAGUGAUUGACUAGCCGUCGAUGCUCCUGUACUUAGGGCGUGUUUGGUUGCCUGCAUAUGGCCCAGCCUGGCCCGUGCGGGAAAGAUUGAGCCCGUUUGGUAGCCUGCGUUCACUGUGCGGCCUACAUCGCACGGAACUUAAAGCACGUCCAGGCCAGGCCCAGGGGAAACGCCCGAAUCGGCAGUAGCUCACGAGCCUGGCUCGGGCGAGGCAGGGGAGGGCGAUGCGCUUCUCCCCUCGUGCGAGCAGGGAGAUGGCGCGAGCUCGCCCGCGUUGCCGAAAAAUCGGCGGGAGGAUUUCGGCUCACCUCUCGCCGAGUCCACCCCUAUUUAGCCCCUCCCUCACCGCCCAACUCCCGCCACCAUUCUCCCUCCGUUCGAGCUUUCCCGCCGACGCGCAUCGGCACCGACGAGCAGGUAAGCGGCGCAUCUUCAUCGGCCGGCGGUCCACGGCGUCGGCGCACUUCACCGGCCGGCGUUGAUCUUCCACGACCGUCCCCCGUCGUCCUCGAGCUGCAGCCAUGGCCUCUGUGAGUUCAAUCCCCCUUUCUCUCUGUUCCUUGUAGCUAGAUCUGAGUUGCAGCUAGGGUUUGAUCUAGAUGCAUGGUUGGUUAGUGGUCUGAUCUUUGAGCUGAUAUGGUUGAUUGCUAUGGUGCAGUUGCAAAUUGUGGUAGGGCUAGAUGUUCAAGCAUGUGGUAGGCUAGAUUAGUAGUAGAGUUUGAAGUUGAACCUUGUGCUUGUGUUGAUUCGUGCUUAGAUCUGUGAUUUGUAGCUAUUGGUGGUCCAUUUGUAGCAUGUUGUUUGUUGUAGAUGUAUGUUCCUGCUCAUAGAUUGUCCGGUAUGCUUGGUAUGAUAGCGAUGAAGCAUGUGCUUACUAUGAUAGUGAUGAACCAUGUACAUGUAUGCUUCUGCUUUCAUGGAUUGUCCGGUAUGUUGUGUGCUAUGCUUACUGUCAAUGCGUGCUACGAUUGUAGGACAUGACCACGCAGACGCAAGAUCUUAGCCAGGCCCUUAUCUUGUCCGACAGCCAGUUUGCAUCGUUUCUCGAGGACUCGCAGCCUAUAUCCGAGAUGGCACCUGAUUCAGAGGUGUUCGCGUCUGAUUCCCUCUAUGUGCCAGUAGUGCUCGUUGAGCCAACUCCUGCUGCUGUCGCUACACUCAAGGUAGCAGCAGCAAAGGCAAAGAAGGAUGGUAGGUCGAACAACAUGAAGUGGCAGCCGUUCAUGUCCACGUUCGUGCUGAACAAGAUGUGUGAGCUCAUCUCUAGUGGAGUUAGGACUGACAAGGGCUUCAAGGAGGUGCACUUGAACACCAUCGCGAAGCAGGUGUUCGAGUUCUGUGGGCAGGAGGUGUCUACCACCCAGGUGUACAACCACCUAAGGAAAUGAAGAGGUCGAUGGAUCCAAGUGUCCAAGCUAAGAGACCUUAGUGGCGCCUCAUGGGAUGAGAACACUUGCUCCAUAGUUCUGGAGGCAGAGCACUAUGUCGGCCAUGUCGCGGUUAGCUCACAGCCCUCUUCCUUUUCAUACCGUCCACCAUUGCCUACUCCUAAUCGCAACUAACAACACUUGUGUUUCAUUCUUAGGACCACCCAAGGGACGCUGAGUUUCUCAACACACCCAUACAAAACUACAGCCAGAUGCAACACAUCUUCUCCUUUGGGCUGGCAACUGGGAAGCAUGCCAUGGGCUCGGGGGAGCCUCUUGGUUCUCCCAUGCCAGACUUCCCUGGGACCCCGGACGUCGAGGUCCUUGAUGGCCCCGAUAAGCCCGCUGCGAAGCCCUUCGACAAGCCAUUUGACCCCGUCCAUGAUAGGAAGAGGAAGAGAGGAGGCCCGGCGGAGGAGGAGAUCAAUGUCUUUUUCAACAUGACUGAGGCGGUGAAGGUGGUAACAUCCAUCAGGGAGUGCAAGCCCCUCGACGUCCACCCUGACCUGUAUGGCGCUGUCAUGACCCAGGGUGGCUUCAGCGACGAGGCUCUCAUGGCAGCUCUCAGCCACCUGCUUGACAACAAGGCCCAGAGGGUUGGGUUCGUUGCCGUGGCCGAUGCUCACAGGGUGCUGUGGCUCAGGAGCUGGCUGGGCAAGCACUACUACUAGAGUAAUGCUGCCUGUGAGCGUGCAUGAUCCCCGACGGCGAUGGCGGUGGCGACGACGACGACGACGAUGACGAUGACGACAUACAUUUUGUGUAGUUAGGGCUCAAAAACUAUUUGAUGGUCUGUAUAUUUUGGUGAGGUGGUAUAUACUAACCCCUCACGCUGAUGGUGAAAUUGCGGCGGUAGGACGACACCCUCUUUUGGAUGUGGUGGUAGGUUAACACCAAGGUAGUGCUAGAAAGAACUUGCUAUGCCGUAUGAUCAUGCAUGCUUUACUUCUUCUCUUCUGCUCCAUUGUUGUUUGUGUGCUACUUUGCUUGCUACUUGUGUGCUCCAUUGAUUUGCUGCUUCAACUCUUGCUCUUGUGCAUUGCUAGGGCAAGUGGUAUGCCGUGUUCAUCGGUAAGGUUCCAAGGGUUUAUAGUUCAUGGGAAGAAGUCAGUGCACAAGUGGCAUCGUAUAGCAACAACACCCAUAGAGGGUUCAAGACUAGGCAGGCAGCAGAACAAGCUUACUCCGACUGGGUGCGAAAGCACGGAGGCAGCAGUGUUGAUAGUGGCAAGGUUGGAGGUGUCAAGGUGGAUCGUCAGUUUGGGCUGAAGCUGAAGAACUUCAUCAUCUUCGCCCAGUUCAUCGUCAUUGCUGUGCUGUGGCAUUAGUGUGCUAGGUGUGGGUAAGCUCACCAACUAGGGUACAAGGUAAGCACAACAUGUACGUUGUAUGCAACCAAACGCCAUGUUCAUGUGCCGAUUGGGACAAUGCAGGCAACCAAACAAAGUGCACUUGCGUAUUACCUAAUGCAGGGACACUAGAUGUAGGCAACCAAACAAGUUGCAAAUGGUGUAUUAGGGCCUGUUUUUGCUCAACCAGGCUGGGUUGAGAAGUGUAUGCGACGCAGGCACUGUGGCAAACGGCAACCAAACACGCCCUUAGCACCCGGACGGAGGAGUCCUCGGAGGGCAUGAGCAUGAGCACGGCCCAUAGUGACGCCGUCCAUGUAUGGGCAGAUGGUUGGCGCGGCCAACGUGAGCUAUGACCUGUCCUGCUACGGGCCGGUGCUCGUGUACCUGGCCGACUGCACGUUCGUGCGCCGCGCGUUCCAGGCCAUUGGCAAGGACCACUGCCCCGGGCUAUGGAGGUACAAUGAGCAGGUGUACGAGGGCCUCCUGGCCAUCACGGCCUCCGGGAUACUCUCGGUGCUACUGUGGGUCGUGCACUCGGGGGAGAGACGGAAGAGAAGCGACACCAAGGAGAUGAAGCUCAUGGCGUCGCCGGCGCUAUUCAGGUACCAGCGGAGCAGCGCGAGCGCCCACUCCCAGUGGCCGGAGAGCUCGAGCAUCUUGAGCAGGGACGGGAGAUCGGCGACACAUAGGAGGUUGUCGCGUCGGGAGGGCGGGCAGUGGCAUGGAGGAGAGCUCGAGCAUCAGCACCUGCCCGUCCGAGUAGAGGAAGGAGCUCGGCCUCCCUCGAUGCUCCUGAUCUGGACGGCUCUUGCGGCAAAGCAGCGGCGGCGAGGGGAGGCGAGCGCACGAACUGGCGUGGAGGGGCACUGGUGCACGUGGUGGUUCAGGGGCGACACGGUUGGUCGUGGGCGCUGGCNNNNNNNNNNNNNNNNNNNNNNNNNNNNNNNNNNNNNNNNNNNNNNNNNNNNNNNNNNNNNNNNNNNNNNNNNNNNNNNNNNNNNNNNNNNNNNNNNNNNNNNNNNNNNNNNNNNNNNNNNNNNNNNNNNNNNNNNNNNNNNNNNNNNNNNNNNNNNNNNNNNNNNNNNNNNNNNNNNNNNNNNNNNNNNNNNNNNNNNNNNNNNNNNNNNNNNNNNNNNNNNNNNNNNNNNNNNNNNNNNNNNNNNNNNNNNNNNNNNNNNNNNNNNNNNNNNNNNNNNNNNNNNNNNNNNNNNNNNNNNNNNNNNNNNNNNNNNNNNNNNNNNNNNNNNNNNNNNNNNNNNNNNNNNNNNNNNNNNNNNNNNNNNNNNNNNNNNNNNNNNNNNNNNNNNNNNNNNNNNNNNNNNNNNNNNNNNNGGGGGGAGGCGCAGAGGCAUGCGUGGGCGACAGAGCAGCAUAAAUUUUACCAUUUCAUGGAGUAUAUUUAGGGAAACGAAAGGCGUCGGAGUAUAAUUUUUACUCCCUUACAGCGGAUUGGUGAUCGGAUAGAUGCGCGUUAGACGAGUAAAACCGACCUUUUACUUUCCCGCAAAAAACCCGACCUUUUACUUCUCCAACGCCGGAUAAGGGAUCGGUUAGAAAUGCUCUUUAGUUAGUUUUGACCGAGAUAGGCAUAUAUGAUUUGGUGUAGACUUUGCCUGAGCUGAUAAUAUUACAUAGUUUUCUCUAACAAAUCUGGCUAGGGAAAUCGAUCAAUUAAGUGGGUCGCCGUCGAUUGAAUAUCCGGAGACCAUCACUCCACUCGUAUCAUCUUAUCCACCGGGUACUUAAGUACUCCUGCUCCACUGCUCUCAGCUUGGGGUGGUGUGGGGCCUGUUUUUUUUCCUCUCUUUUUUCAGCUUCACUCAGAUUUGCCUGGACCGUCGGAUCAAAAUUCAACGACAAACCAAUCAUAUUCCAUCUCCAUUCGCCAGCUUAUUACUUCUCCAUCCCGAGCCUCUUCCCCAGGUGCAAAAGCCACGGUAAGGGCAUCUACAGCCGGAUUUGGCAAAUCUGGCCUCCUUAUACGCCCGCGGGCGUAUCCCGUCGCGUCCGCGGACAGCGCCCGCCAACCCCUCAUAUCUUGUGCCCGAUAUUCACAUAUAUCAAAUACGGACUCUUAAUUCCAUGCACGUCGAUUAUAUACGCCAAUGUUGCACGUAAAUAACCAAUGUUGGUUCUGAAGAUACAUAUGUCUUGUUAGAUAAAAUUUGUUUAACUGCACAAGUCAAACAUUAGCUCUUUGAUUUCCAUUGUGGGUCCACAUAUGCUCCACAAGAUCAUAUAGUAGUUGCGCGUGCACCUGUUGAUCUCAAAGAUUCUGAUGCAUCUGCCGAAAGUUCAUAAGCCGAGCUGCAUCUUGAUCUUUCGGGAUUUGAACUUGUUCUCCAGGUGCUGCAAAGGCCCUGUUCAUAAUCUCUCCACUCCGCUCUACUCUGCGGAGCUGUGGAGCUCGGUUUGAGCCGCUCUAUGAAAAUGGGCUGCAGUCUGCUCCGCUCCCGGAGCGCAGCUGAGGGAGUGGAAAGGAACCGAACAGGCACAAAAUCAUUCGUUUGGGCUACAACAUCACCCUCGUCCUCGACAAUCAUAUUAUGCAAAAUAACAACAUGUCAUGAGCUGCCACAAAGUUUCUGAUUCUCACAUCAUUGCAGCUCCACGAACAAUUCCCCAACGAGCUUGAAACACUCUGAAUGCCCUCUCCACAUUCUUCCUAGCUGCUUCCUGCAUUGUUGAAAAGUGGCUUUGCUUGUUGCCCUGUGGUUCAGAUAUGAUCUUCACAAACGCUGCCCACUGAGGAUAGAUGUCAUCUGCAAGAUAGUAUCCCAUGUUGUACUCACGGCUUUUGACAGUGUAGUUGCACGGCGGAGAUUCCCAUUGCAAAGCCUCCUGAACACCGGAGAUCGUUGAAGCACAUUGAUGUCGUUAUGAGAUCCCGGCAUUCCAAAGAAAGCAUGCCAAAUCCAUAAGUCAUGUGAUGACACCGCUUCAAGUAUGAUGGUGGCCUCUUUGGUGUGACCUUAAUACAUUCCCCGCAAACCUUUGGGGCAGUUCUUCCAUUGCCAAUGCAUACAAUCGAUUAAUCUGCGCAUUCCGGGAAACCCUCUGGCCUGUCAAAUAGCCAACAACCUUUUCGUGUCCUACGCAUUUGGUUCUCUCAGAUACUCUGCACAAACACCUACACCAUGACGUGGGAAAACUUGACAGUAGUGUUUAGGCAUGUGCUCUCCCCCAUCUUGACCAUCUCACCAACGACAUACGCGGCAGCACCAAGUGCAAGCAUCGUCAGAGCAGCCAUGGAUUUCUACUUAGUAGAGAAAGAAAGUUGGCCACAACAAUCCCUCUUGAGCUUGAAUUAGUCAUCAUGUGCCUCCACAAUGCGCAAGAACAAUGGUUUUCGCAUGCGGAAACAAUGACGAAACAAUUGACGGUGUCCUGGACUAGGGGGUACUCACCACGUCGUCUCCCGAUCAGUUAGAUUGGGCCGAGGACCCCAUGGCCGCAUACUCGUGGGCCAGUUCGGACAACCCCUGCCGCAUAUAAGGAAGACUCCACAAGACUUGGCGCCCAAGACAAGGACUCUCCUAAACCAUAGGCCUCCGGUGUCUUAUAUAAACCGAGGCCAGGCUAGUCAAUAGACGAUCUCAUUCAUUACUACGAUCUUGUGGUAGAUACAUGUACUCUGUACUACACCCAUAUGAAAACAAUCAAAAGCAGCAUGUAGGGUAUUAUCUCAUCAAGAGAGCCCGAAGCUGGGUAAAACCCCGUGUCCAUGUUACCAUCGCUCCAAGAUGCCUAGCUUAGGACCCCUACUAUGAGAUACGUCGGAUAUUGAACCGACAACAAUGGAUCAUCCGAGAAAGUUGGGUUCGGAGCAAAGUAGUCCCUGCAAUAGCCGUGCUCCAGACACCCUAUCCCGAUUGAUCAAUCUUCUCCCUUUGAUUGAGCCCUCGAAGUUGAGAAUAUGCUCCACCUGCCGGUCCAUUUCCUCUUGCAUGCUCAUGAGCAUGAUCAUAUCCACUUCUUCGUCCGAAUUCGAGGAAUCAAAGAACUCUUCUUGAACAAUUUGAUCAAGCUUCGUCAGUCCAUACUCCUCGUCGGACGAAGCAUCGGAAUUCAUUGUUUUCCCUAAAAAAUAAAAAAUAAAUAAAUCCGGUUAGACAAUGUAUCGAACACAUAGAGGGCAAGACGAAGCCAGAGAGUUGCCGGACGUACCGCGGUGGGGUCCGGGCCGGCGAAGACGUCCCUGCCGGCAAGGAUGGGAGAGAGGACUGCUCUACCGGAGGUGCCGGCGCAGAGGCUAGGAAUGGCUGUGGGGCGCGCGUGGCGGCGGAACGACGAGACAGACGUCGAGGAGGAGGAAGAAGAGAUGAGAGAGCAAAUGGAUCCGGUAGGUUAAUUUGAUGGAUUUGGUGCAAUUUGUGAUGGGGUCGGGUCCGACGGGACGGACACACCCGAAGCGCCGCCAUAUCCGCCCCAUAUUUGGGCUGGAUUUGGAGGGUGCCAGUCAGCCCGGACGUUUGGGACCCGUUUGAGGCACCCGUCCGGACGAAAUUUCGUGACAGGCAAGUGUCCAGGUGGUCUGUCUGGACAUAUGAGGCGGUUUGGGGGCGCCCGGCUGUAGAUGCUCUAAGGCGCAUCAUCAUGCCUUCGACAAGGUUGUGACGACCCCUACCCCGAAACUAUCAAUCCUCAAUGAAGUCAUGCCCAGCCACAUCAUAUCUAUCUUGGGCACAACCCUGGCAGUCACCCUAACCCAAUGAGACAUGGUGGUCCGUCAAUUGAAAAAAUUCAUAUGAGCUUAUUUUUAAUAGAUUUGCUAAUUCUCUUCUAGUUGUGAAUUAAUUAAAUAAAUUCCAUCAAGCCUCUAGACUAUUCAUUUUAUGGGGAGAUUCAUACCAAUUUUUCUUUUUUGUUUGACCAAUUUAUAUUUUUCUGGAUUUCUAUUGUUUUCCCUUUUCCACACACGACUACAGUUGCAUGCUCGCAAACAAACACAAAAGUUACAGUUGCACGUCCCCAAGACACGCAACUAGUCACAUUUUUUCUAUAAAAAUACAAUAAAAGGUCGAGAAACAAAAAAUACAAGUGAAGAAGAGGAAAACAAAAUCACAUGUCGAUGUUCAACUGGAUGAGAUUUAGUUAAUUUCCAUAUAGAUGAGAGCAAACCACACCCUAUUUUUAAACAAUUUUUUCUAUGCUUUAACAGGCUAAAGAGAAAUUUCAGAAUGGUCCAUGGACCACCAUGCAUCGCUUUGCUCACGGAACCAACUGAAAAAAAACGCACUUAGUUCAAAGAACCAAUGCUGCAAGCCUGCAAUACGGCCCGUACACUAGCACACAGUAAGUAUAAUGUCUGAACGCUGCAUGCCGACUUGAUCGACCCUCUGCUCACCAACUCCCAGUCCCAGCCAGCGAUGAACAUGCAACUGUUCCUUGUUCCGCAAGGGGCAAAGGAGUAAAAUUUGCAUGGUCAGCUCAGCUCAACGAUUCCAAUCAGGGAAGAAGGGCAGAACCGGCCAUUCUUGCUCGGCCUUGACGGUCGUUUCGUUGAAGCAGUCAGCCGUCAGCGUGCUUGCGUAAGGCGAUGUUUGACCCGCGCAAUUCUCACUCUCAGACCGUAGAUAAGCUAACAUACUCUGCAACAUUCAAAAAAAAGCUAACAUACUCUGGCCAUCCCUUUCAAGAUUCAACUGCAUGCACAUGCAUUGGCCACGCUUAAUAAAAAUACUACUUCAUGUAUCGAUCCAUCGAUCGAAGUUGACGGGCAGGGUUUCUCGCAUCGCAUGCAUCGCUCUGGCUCAUGCGUGCAACCUCACCGUCCGAUCAAAGUAUAUAUAUAUAUAUAUACUCACAUACUACUAUUAAAAUCUUAAGUAGAGUGAACGCUAUACCUUCCUCCAGACCAAUAUGAAUUAUGUUUUCACUUUUUCCAGGGAUGUAGGUUGCUCUUCCUAUUUUGGUGCUAACACAUAAAUACAACCGAGUUCUUCCCGCCUAGCCCCUGUUCCGGUGAUGCAUUUAGCAUCGUUGGUGGACGUGUGGAGGUGUGUCUCCAAUUGAUCCGUCUUUGGUGGAUUUACUCGGAUCUGUUUGUCAUUCGUCUAACGUUCGUGUGCCUUCACGUUGGAUUCUUCGGAUCUACGCUACUCUUCAUCGGCGGCGGUUGCUGUUAUGGUGCACUGGUCCUAUGGGGCCUUAGUACGACGACUUUCCUACUUUCUACCACAACAAGUUUUGCCUUGCUCCGGCAAGAGAGGGGUGAUGACAGCGGCGCGCCUUCGGCUCGCUUCAGUUCUUGUAGUCGUUGCAAGGUGGUUUACGGAUCUGGAUGUAAUUUUUAUUAUUUCUGAUGUUCGUUGUACUAUCAUGUUUAGAUGAAUAGUAGAUGGGGUGCAAAGGUGACAAUUUUCCUAAAUGUGAUAAUUAUGUUGCACUUGGCAUUGCGGUGAAUAACGGCUGUCUCAACGAGUUUGUUAGAUGGGGUGCAAAGGUGACAAUUUUCGUAAAUGUGAUAUUUAUGUUGCGUUUGGCAUUGCGGUGAAUAACGGCAACCCCGUUUGGCCAACUCGUUUUAGCCUGUUUCGGCCUUUGUUUCACCCACUUUGUCAUACAUUUGCGGCUAAUUUUCCAGGACAAAAUGUAAAAUAAGCAUGUCGACAUUAUCUUCGGGAGAGUUUUUCGUUGGAUAGAUGGCAAACACCACUAAAAUAUUAGGAACAUUUUAUAUUGAGUCAAUGUAAACAUUCAUUAGUGGUAAACCUGGGCCCUUGUAAUUUGUUCGUUCCGACCUUUGAACGUGGUUAGAAGCCAGUCUAGACUUAGCUCAGUUAAGGGAUAUGUAUUAAUUCAAAUUCAUAUGGUACUAGACCAAUCAACCGGACGCAUGCAUUAGCAUGUACUAGACCAGUCAUCGUAGUCUAUUUUUUCGCCGGAUGUGGCAUCUUUUUCUACAUUUUGUUUGUUUUGGGUUCUGUUUGUGAGCUAGUACAGGACCUGAAAUCUUGUUUCCAUGCUUUUAUUUAAUAGUUUUGCUAAGUAUCAGUCCACUCAGACUUUGUUAUGUCUCAGUCGAUACUAUCUCCUUUGAUUUUGUAUGGAGAUUCGUGCAAAAAUUUGUUUUCAGUUUUUCUUUUUUCUUCUUACAUGCUAUAUCAUUUGACGGAGACUUGAUUAAAUCUUAGUCGACUGAGACCUAGCCAUGUCCUUUAUUUAAUAAUUAAGCUGCAUGCAUUACUCUAAUGCAGAGGCCGGGGUCUUUGCUCCUUUCCAAAAAAAAGUACUACACUGUUAAUUCAAACAUCAAGUUGUGUAGUACUAAAUUAUACUAUCAAUUCAAACAUCAAGUUGUGUAGUACUCCCUCUGUAAAGAAAUAUAAGAGUGUUUAGAUCACUAAAGUAGUGAUGUAAACGCUCUUAUAUUUCUUUACGGAGGGAGUACUAAAUUCACAAUGCGGCGUUCCCAUUUCAUCCUCUGCUCACCAGUACUAUCAACGAUGCUGCCACUACUAAGUGCUGGUUCUUCUCUUCUGGACGGGGCGAAAAUGGCAUGCAUGGUCAACUCAACUCAGUUCGCCAAGAGAAACAAUGUCUGUCAAUCCGCUCGUCCACCUACCUCAGGAAAUGUGUUUUGACUCGUCCUAGCUAGCUUGCUAAUCCUACAUUCACAAAAUGCAUGCACGCAUGCAUCGCCCUCCAGUUCUCUAUAUAACACUCAGACAUCUGCUCAUCCAGCCUCACCACCCAAUAAUCACACACUACCAUGUUUGUACCUUUGCCCAAGAACACCCAUACCGCACGUCCAAGAUUCCUAGUACGUACGUGCGACUAAGCAAUUAAGCUCUCCUCUACGCUCAUUUUUCAUUGUCGACAUGAAGAUCACCGUGCACUCGUCCAAGGCCGUCAAGCCCGACUACGGCGCCUGCGGCGUCGCUCCGGCCAGCACCGCCGACGUCGUCCCGCUCACCGUGCUCGACAAGGCCAACUUUGACACGUACAUCUCGGUGAUCUACGCCUUCCGUGCAUCGGCGCCGCCCAACGCCGUCCUCGAGGCCGGGCUGGCCAGGGCGCUGGUGGACUACCGCGAGUGGGCCGGGCGGCUCGGCGUGGACCCCAAUGGCGAACGCGCGAUCAUGCUCAACGACGCCGGCGCGCGGUUCAUGGAGGCGACGGCCGACGUGGCGCUCGACAGCGUCAUGCCGCUCAAGCCCACGCCGGAGGUGCUCAACCUGCACCCCAGCGGCGACGACGGGCCCGAGGAGCUCAUGCUCAUCCAGGUCACCCGAUUCGCGUGCGGCUCACUCGUCGUGGGGUUCACCACGCAGCACAUCGUGUCCGACGGCCGCUCCACCGGCAACUUCUUCGUCGCGUGGAGCCAGGCCACCCGCGGCUCCGCCAUCGACCCCGUCCCGGUGCACGACCGCGCUUCCUUCUUCCAACCCCGCGAACCGCUGCACGUCGAGUACGAGCACCGUGGCGUCGAGUUCAAACCCUACAAGAAGGUGUACGACGAUAUUGUCUGUGGAGACGGCGACGACGAAGACGACGAGGUGGUGGUGAACAAGGUGCACUUCAGCCGGGAGUUCAUCUCCAGGCUCAAGGCGCAGGCGUCGGCUGGCGCGCCCAGGCCCUGCAGCACCCUGCAGUGCGUGGUGGCGCACCUGUGGCGGACCAUGACGAUGGCGCGCGGGCUCGACGGCGGGGAGAGCACCAGCGUCGCCAUCGCGGUGGACGGGAGAGCGCGGAUGAGCCCGCAGGUGCCGGACGGAUACACCGGCAACGUCAUCCUCUGGGCGCGGCCCACCACCACGGCGGGGGAGCUCGUGGCCAGACCAGUGAAGCACGCGGUGGAGCUCAUCAGCCGGGAGGUGGCCCGGAUCAACGACGGCUACUUCAAGUCCUUCAUCGACUUCGCCAACUCCGGCGCGGUGGAGAAGGAGCGGCUGCUGGCGACGGCCGACGCGGCGGAGAUGGUGCUGAGCCCCAACAUCGAGGUGGAUAGCUGGCUGCGGAUCCCGUUCUACGACAUGGACUUCGGCGGCGGCCGGCCGUUCUUCUUCAUGCCCAGCUACCUGCCGGUGGAGGGCCUGCUCAUCCUGCUGCCGUCCUUCUUGGGCGAUGGCAGCGUGGACGCCUACGUGCCACUCUUGAGCCGCGACAUGAACACCUUCAAGAACUGCUGCUACACCCUCGACUAGCUCCGCUUUGCACGUACCUGCCAUGCAUGUGCUAAUGUGUGCCUGAUGUUGGAUCCGUGUAUGUAUAGCUAGUUGCCUAGAUUUUUUUUUUCAAGUUCUUGAUUGAAUUGUACAUGAUGUUUUGGGAUAGUAAAUAAACAAAGUUAAAAUAUUCAGAAGAUGGUGAACAUGAUCAAGGGAAAUGAUUUGCUGACUUCUCGUCUUGUCUCAUAUUCAUAUACACGAAUGGAAGGACUGUUGUGCCGGUGUUAGCGGUACUGGGACUAAGAAUGGCGGCGGAGCUAGGAGAUGGCCGGCGCAGAGGAGGGAAAAGAGAGAAGAGGAGCAAGUGAAACUGGGUAGGUUGGAAGGGAGAUUUGGUGUGAUCUUUGUUGGGGCUGGGCUGCUACGGACACCGCCGAGCCGCCCCAUAUUCGUCUAAAGUAGGGCGUGCUGGUCAGCCUAGGGAUUUGAGACCAGUUUGAGUUGCCCGUCCUUGUUUUUUUUUUCAUCGAACACUACCCGAGCCGUCCGUCCGUCCGGUCGUUUGAUGGGAGUUUAAGGCUCCUGGCUAUAGUUGCUCUAACUUGAGAAAAUUCCACGAAUGAUGCUCCUGACAAACCGAACGCGCCCGCUCGUUGUCUGACCGUUGCUUCUUUCCUCUCCGGCGAUUUCCAUAGCUUAAUUAAACACGAACUUAGGGUAACUCCAAGACACGGUGCAUUUCAUCCCUUUUUUGUUCGUUUGGAUUUCUGUGUACAAAAAUAAUGGCCUAACACGUGCAGGUAAAUCAAUUACUUUUUUUGAACACAGUACAGACGCAAUCGCUCGUAUACACGCACAUACACUCAUCUCUAUGAACACACACACAUACCCUAUCCUAUGAGCAUCUCCAAAAGACUGAGCCGACAUAUCAUCUUAAAAUUUACGAAGUCACCGUAGGCACCUCGUCGUCGACGGGAACGUCUCCUCCCACUGAAUACGCAUUGCCGGAAAUCCUGAAAUAAUCCAGGAAUAAAUGCGAGGACCAAGACUUGAACCCUGGUGGGCUGGGGAUAUCACAGUCCCUCUAACCAUCCAACCACAGGUUGAUUCGCAAAUCAAAUUUAUUUUCACUUGGUGUCUGUGUGGACGCAAAUCCUCAACAAAUUUGGGCUGGAUUUGCAUCCACGCGAACGUCAGAUGGGCCUGACGAGCCUGGCCCCACUUGCUAUUGACCAAACAACCGUUGAACCGUCCUUUUCAGUGCGCGCGUGCGGGGGGUGUCCACCAUGCCCACUCCUCUCCCUCUCUGCCCCAGCCGCCCGACAACCCUAGCCACCGCCGUCCACCAUGUUUCGGAGGUGGACCGGAGCACAUGACCACAAGGUGGGCUCCUCCUCGGGGCACCUCCGCGCAACCAACUUCAUCGUGGCACCGCAGGUGUUGUGACACCGGUGCGCGAUUGCAUCUACGUGUCGGUUUGAUAUGUCUCCGACGUAUCUAUAAUUUUUUAUUGUUUCAUGUUAUUAUAGUAACAAUCUUGGAUGUUUUAUAUGCAUUUACAAGCAGUUAUAUAUCAUUUUUUGGCUAACCUAUUAACUUAGUGCCCAGUGUCAGUUGCUGUUUUUAGCCUGUUUUUGCUUUUUCAGAAUAUUAGUACCAAACGAAGUCCAAAUGCCACGAAACUUUUUAGAGAUUUUUUUGGGACAAAAAAGACACUAGAAGCUCCGGGAGAGGGCCAGAAGAUGAAGCGUGCGCCGACGAGGCACCAGGGGGCGCCCAGGGGGGUAGGCGCGCCCUAGUGGCUGGUGGGCCCACGUGGCCCCGUUUGACCUAAUUCCGCAUCUAUAAAUUCUCUAAACUUGGAAAACAAACAGAGAGCCAACCAAAAUACUUUUUCCGCCGCCGCAAGUUCCAGAACCAUGAGAUCCCAUCUGGAGACCUUUUUCGGCACUCUGCCAGAGGGGGAUUCGAUCACGGAGGGGCUCUACAUCAACCUUGAUGCCCUUUCAAUGAUGUGUGAGUAGUUUAUCACAGACCUACGGGUCCAUAGUUAGUAGCUAGAUGACUCUCUCUCUCUCUCUUUGAUCUUCAAUACAAUGUUCUUGGAGUUCUAUUUGAUGUAAUCACUUUUGCGGUGUGUUUGUUGGGAUUCGAUGAAUUGUGAGUUUAUGAUCAGAUUUUCCAUGAAUAUCAUUUGAGUUUUCUCCGAACUCUUUUAUGCAUGAUUGUUAUAACUUCGUAUUUUUCUCCGAUCUAUUGAUUUGGUUUGGCCAACUUGAUUGACUUUUCUUGCAAUAGGAGAGGUGCUUUGUAAUAGGUUCAAUCUUGCGGUGCUUAGUCCCAGUGACAAAGGAACAUGGCACGUAUUUGUAUCAUUGCCAUUAAGGAUGAAAAUAUGGGGUUUAUUCAUGCAUUAGUUUACUUUGCCUACAUCAUGUCAUCUUUCUUAAGGCGUUAUUCCGUUCUUUAUGAACUUAAUACUCUAGAUGCAUGUUGGAUAGUGGUCGAUGUGUUGAUUAAUAGUAGUAGAUGAAGGCAAGAGCCGGUCUACUUAUCUCGGACGUGAUGCCUAUAUACAUGAUCAUUGUCUUGGAUAUCGUCAUGAUUAUUUGUUUUUCUAUCAAUUGCCCAACAGUAAUUUGUUUACCCACCGUAUCAUAUUUUCAAGAGAGAAGUCUCUAGUGAAAACUAUGGCCCCUGGGUCUACUUUUAUCAUUUAUAAAAUCCUAAAAAUACUUUGCUGCAAUUUUACUUUAUUUAUUUUACUUUGUAUUUUUGUUUGAUCUAUCUAUCAAUUACUACACAAUUUGCUCUUGUGCACAUAACCGCUAAGGGAUUGACAACCCCUUGUUCAUGUUGGGUUGCAAGGAUUUGUUAUUUGUGUGCAGGUGCUGCUAACGAGGUGUUGCGUGGUCUCUUACUGGAUUUAUAACCUUGGUUCUUAACUAAGGAAAAUACUUAUCUCUAAUGUACUGCAUCAUCAUCUUCUCUUCGAGGAAAUCCUAAUGUAGUUCACAAGUAGCAGGAAGAAUUUCUGGCGCUGUUGCCGGGGAGACAUCAUCAACAUCUAUUAAGUACCUACGCAUAAACUUUCAUCUCCUUGCAUUUACAUUAUUUUUCAUUUAAAAUAUUUUCCGUUUGCCUUUUUCGUGUUUAUCUUUUUAUUUACUUGUUAUCUUGUUUGCCUACUUACGAUGUCUCAAGAAAAUACAAAAUUAUGUGAAUUUUCCAAUAGUAAUAAUAAUGAUUUUAUUAGUACCACGAUUGCUCCUCCCGCCUCUAGUGCGGAGAUUUGUGAUAUUAAUGUCGCUUUGUUAAAUCUUGUCAUGAAAGAACAAUUUUUUGGUAGUCGUAAUAAAGAUGCUGCAUUCCAUCUGAACACUUUCGUAGAAUUGUGUGAUAUGCAAAAGAAAAACGAUGUGGAUAAUGAUAUUGUGAAAUUAAAAUUAUUCCCGUUUUCACUGUGAGAUCAUGCUAAAAUUUGGUUUUCAUCUUUGCCAUGGAAUAGUAUUGAUUCUUGGAAUAGGUGUAAAGAUGCUUUUAUUACCAAAUAUUUUUCUCCCGCAAAAAUUAUUUCUCUAAGAAAUCAAAUUAUGAAUUUCAAGCAACUUGAGCAUGAACAUGUUGCCAAAUUUUGAGAGAAGAUGCAAUUAAUAAUAAAAAAAUUGCCCUACUCAUGAUUUAAAUUUAUAGAUGAUCAUUAAUCUAGAAAUCUUUUAGAUUCCGUCGCGGGUGGUACUUUUAUGAAAAUUACGUUAGGAGAAGCUACCAAAUUACUUCAUAAUAUUAUGGCAAAUUAUUCACAAUGACGUACCAAAAGAACUGCUCGCAACACUUCCUAAUAGGAUGGCCCACCUUCGUACGUAGUAGGUGAUCGAAGGGAUAUGUAUUGCUAUAAGAUUUGGUGGCUAUGGAAGGUUGAAAAACAAGCCCUUCCUCAUUCUCCUUUUCUCUAAGCACUCUCGCACGCCUUGACGUGCGGUGACAUGUAUUGCUUGUUGUGAGCGAUACAUCCGCGUCACUCCUUGCUGGGCUGGCUCAGAAGCUUCCGCACGCUUGCUAUUCGGCUCGCUCUGGGCUCCUAUCACAUUUUUUCAACGCUCUUUCACUUUUUAAUGUGAUUAGGUCUUGAAUGCUGCCUCACACGAAAUAAUAGAAUUCGGUCCUUUUGGUUUUGAAAAAGUUGGUGCAAAUACAAAUUGGUAAUGGAUUUAAAAAGUUCAUAGGUUAAAUUUUUUUUGCGUGAACCCGUAUUUUUGUAAAUAUUUUUUCAAAAAAUCACAAAUAUGGAAAAUCACACGAGAUGAAAAAAAUGUUCUUUUAAAAAAUGUUCACAAAUUUUAAAAAAUGUUCAAGAUUUUUAAUAAAUUUUCAUAAAUUAAAUAAGUGUUCUUAAAUUUUAAAAUAAGUUCAUGGAUUUGAAUUCGGAAAAAGGUAAAAAAAAUGCUUUUCAUGAAUUAAAAAAUGUGCACAUAUUAAACCAAUGUUCAUGGAUUCAAUAAAAUUCCAUUCAUGGAUUUGAACAAUACUAACCAUGAAUUCAAAAAAUAAUCACGAAGUUGAAAAAUAUUCACAAAUAUAAAAAAGAAGAUUUACAAAGAGGAAACAAAAGAAAAACUGAAAAAAGGAAUACUUGCGAGAAAACAUUGGAAAAAGUAAAGAAGAAAAAAGAACUUCUCGAACCUUCCAAAAACUGGGCAGAAGGUUCCAGAAGCUUCAAGAAACAGAAAGCAGAUUUCUUUUAGUCCCGCUACUUUUGUUUGAGGCAAUGUUCGUCCUGCAACGUUUUCCUAGACAAUGUUAGUCCUGCUACUAAAUGUUGCAGAGGGGAUGAGUGCUCACUGUUGGGGUCCGGCCUAUGUAAGCGAAGUGGGCCAACUAGAUCUAGGAAGACAAGAAGAUUUCUGGCCUUGGGCAACCCAGGCUUGACAUUUUUCAUUUUGUCCCGAGAGCUCCUAAUUGCGAAAUCACCGGUCAAGGGUUAUCUAAAGGUCACUUCCACCUUCUUAGGUCGCAACCUAGAUCUUUUUUUGUUUUCAUGGAUUUGUUUAUUUAAAAUGUUUUAUCUCCUGAACUGUGUGUUUAAAUCCUGACUGUUUUCAUUGUUGGAUUUCCCGCAUUUGAGAUCUUCGAAACUAGAUCACAUGUUGAUAGAUUUUGAAGAAUUUUUUCAUGAAAAAACCUUAAAAAGAAUUCUGAAGCCGGAAGUAUGUUUUUUACCUUUCCCCUUUUUCGAGAAGCACAAAGCACAUUUUUUCCCUUUUCCAGAAACACAGUUGUGCUUCUCGCGCAAGCAAAUAUGUGCCUCCAUGAGAAGCAAAUUUGUUCUUCUACCUUCUAGUAGAAGCAUAGAAUUUUUUUAUUUUUGAUGUGUUUCUCGCCAAAGCAAAUAUGUGCCUUCACGAGAAGCAAAUUUGUGUUUCUUGUGGAAACACAUGCUUUUUUUUUUUUUCUGAUAAGCAUAGUUGUGCUUCUCGCGGAAGAAAAUUUGUUCAUCCACGAGAAGCAAAUUUGUGCUUCUUGUGGAAGCACAUGUUUCUUUUCUAAAUUGUGCUUUGCGGAAAGAAAUCUAUGCUUACACGAGAAGCAUGUGAAAGCACAACUUUUUUCCUUUUCAAAAAGCACAAUUGUGCUUCUUGGAAGUAAAUAUGUGCCUCCACGAGAAGCAAAUUUGUGCUUCUCGUGAAUGCAUAGAAAUGUUUCAUUUCUGAGAAGCACAUCUGUGCUUCUUGAGGAAGCAAAUAUGUGCCUCCACGAGAAGCCAAUCUGUGCCUCUUGUGGAAGCAUAAUUUUUUCUCAUGUGCUUCUUGCGGAUGCAAAUCAGUGCCUUCACGAGAAGCAAACAUGUGCUUCUCAUGAAAGCACAUAUAUUUUUCCUUUUACGGGAAGCACAUCUGUGCUUCACAUGAAAACAAAUUUGUGCCUCCAUGACAAGCAAAUAUGCGUUUCUCGUAGAAGCACAAUUUUUUUCCAAGCAAAAAAAAAUCCUAAACUAUUCUCUUCAAAACCUAGGGAAAACCAAAAGGCCGGGAAAUUCUCUCUAAGACCCUCAUCUAAAACCCGAAAACAAGUACACAAAAUAAUUAAAAAAACCCAGAGGAAGCCCCCAGCAUGUGAUAUGUGGUGGCGGUUAGACGCACCACUUGGCGUGCUCCUAGGGCACCAAAAAGGACCCCUGAAGGUCCAUCGCAAGAGGCAACCUCAAAUUAGUUGACAUAUUUUUUAGGGGUAUUAGUUGACCUCUCCUAAUUGCUGCCCUAUGCGCCCGUUGAGGAAUUGGCGUUUACGCACCAUCCCGCUUAUGGACCGGCCCAAUACAAUGUUUCGAGCGCUGGAUUUGUUCAUGGAUCUAUUGCUAAUCAAAGAAAAGCUUUCAGGUUUGCUUGGUUCCCAAUUGACCGGUCGCUAUUGACCGUCGACCGAGGCCUAUGUUGAUUGUUGACUUUACAGAAAAAUUCAUAAAAUUCAAAAACAAAUACUAAAAAUAGAAAGUUUACGAAUUUAAAAAAUUCAAAAAUUAGAUUUCAUACUUUGAAAAAGAAAUCAUGAAUCUGAUUUAUUUUUACAAAUUUGAAAAAAAUCAUGAAUUUGAAAAGUAAUUCAUGAAUCUGAAAAAGGUUACUGAUUUGUUAAAAAUUUCAGAAAAACCAAGAAAAAGUUCAUGUGUUUUGAAAAAUAGUGAAUUUGGAAAAAGUCCUUUGAUUUUGAAAAAAAAUCGGAUUCAAUAAGUUCAUGAAUUUGAAAAAAGGUCGCAUAUUUGUGGUUAAAAAGUUCAGAAAUUAGAAAAAGUUCACGAAUUGAAGGAAAAGUGUUCACAAAAAUUCAUAAAACUUCACCAAUUUGAAAAAGUUCACUUAUUUAAAAAAAAUAAAAAAC
rnacentral:lncRNA from 1 species